GGUUCAAGUGGUAGAGUGCAUGCCUAAGAAGCAUGAGACCUGAAUUCAAGUUUCAG
rnacentral:tRNA from 1 species